ensembl:rRNA 5S_rRNA 5S ribosomal RNA
UAUAGCAGCCAUAUCACCCUGCAACUCACAACUGGCAACCCACUGAAGCUAAGCAGGUGUGAGCUUGGUCAGUACCUGGAUGGGAGACCUCCUGGGAAAAACUAAGGUAGCUGCUGGAA